AGAAUUUGUUAAUGCUUUUUAUGCAUCUCCAUUUUCUUUAUUUCUCAUGUUGAAGCUACCCUUAACAAAGGAAACAAUGAGAAAAUUACUCUGAAUCUAUAGGAGACUACAAUCAACUAUGGUAGUUGCAAGAAGAAAUUUUAAUGGAGGUAACUGGGCAAGGAACAAAACCAGACUAUUCGAGCAUUCAAGGACUGAAGCUAAUUCGCUUGUACUUGGAGGAUCAUGAGAGAUCCCGAGAUAGGAAAUUCCUGAGGUUUGGGCUUCAUUAGCUACGGUUAACUUCGAGGCAUCUGAUUCAGCUUUUGAGUGUGCAGCCCUCAUUAACUACUCAUGAUGGAAGAACAAUGGAAUCAAGGGCCAAGGAGUUUCAAAACUGAACAACAAAGAGAAAUAGAGCUAUUGAAGUCCAUGAAGAGCAUCAAAGUGGGCAAUGUGAGCUGAAGAAUGAAGAAAAGAUGUUGCCAAAUGAGGUUAGUACGCAUGUGGGUGCACAUAUGGCACGCUCAUGCGUAUGUGGACAAUGGGUUGGCAUUUCUGGCGAGAAAUGACUGCAUGUCUGUGCAUAUAUGACAUGCACAUGCAUGUCAGGUCAGUGGCUCGACAUUAUAGCAUGCACAUGUGUGCCCCAUCAACUGAUUUUCUUAGUCAUGCUUGUCUAAUUUUCUUUUAACACCUGAGAAUGUGAAUCCUUGGCAUUGUUAUGUUUUAGUUUCUGAGUUUAUAUGAAAUAAGGUUUUCUUCUAUGAAUCUA